rnacentral:lncRNA from 1 species
CCAGAUCCCUGUCGGUCCCGUCGCCCAGGCUGGAGUACAAUGGUGCAAUCUCGGCUCAUGCAACCUCCGCCUGCCUGGUUCAAGUGAUUCUCCUGCCUCAGCCUCCCAAGUAGCUGGGAUUACAGGUGUGUGCCACCACACCCAGUUAAUUUUUUGUAUCUUUUAAUAGAGAUAGGGUUUCAUUAUGUUGGCCAGGCUGGUCUCGAA